GGAGCUUGCUCCUUGAUUCAGCGGCGGACGGGUGAGUAAUGCCUAGGAAUCUGCCUGGUAGUGGGGGACAACGUUUCGAAAGGAACGCUAAUACCGCAUACGUCCUACGGGAGAAAGCAGGGGACCUUCGGGCCUUGCGCUAUCAGAUGAGCCUAGGUCGGAUUAGCUAGUUGGUGGGGUAAUGGCUCACCAAGGCGACGAUCCGUAACUGGUCUGAGAGGAUGAUCAGUCACACUGGAACUGAGACACGGUCCAGACUCCUACGGGAGGCAGCAGUGGGGAAUAUUGGACAAUGGGCGAAAGCCUGAUCCAGCCAUGCCGCGUGUGUGAAGAAGGUCUUCGGAUUGUAAAGCACUUUAAGUUGGGAGGAAGGGCAGUAAGCUAAUACCUUGCUGUUUUGACGUUACCGACAGAAUAAGCACCGGCUAACUCUGUGCCAGCAGCCGCGGUAAUACAGAGGGUGCAAGCGUUAAUCGGAAUUACUGGGCGUAAAGCGCGCGUAGGUGGUUUGUUAAGUUGGAUGUGAAAGCCCCGGGCUCAACCUGGGAACUGCAUCCAAAACUGGCAAGCUAGAGUACGGUAGAGGGUGGUGGAAUUUCCUGUGUAGCGGUGAAAUGCGUAGAUAUAGGAAGGAACACCAGUGGCGAAGGCGACCACCUGGACUGAUACUGACACUGAGGUGCGAAAGCGUGGGGAGCAAACAGGAUUAGAUACCCUGGUAGUCCACGCCGUAAACGAUGUCAACUAGCCGUUGGAAUCCUUGAGAUUUUAGUGGCGCAGCUAACGCAUUAAGUUGACCGCCUGGGGAGUACGGCCGCAAGGUUAAAACUCAAAUGAAAUUGACGGGGGGCCCGCACAAGCGGUGGGAGCAUGUGGGUUUAAUUCGAAAGCAACGCGAAAAAACCCUUACCAGGGCCUUGGACAUGCCAGAGAAACUUUUCCAGAA
rnacentral:rRNA from 1 species